UGAAGGAUGAAGGCGUUCUGCGUUGUAAACUUCUUUUAUCAGGGAAGACACCUCAGUAUUCUUACUGAGCCGACGGUACCUGAUGAAUAAGCACCGGCUAACUCCGUGCCAGCAGCCGCGGUAAUACGGAGGGUGCAAGCGUUAUCCGGAUUCACUGGGUUUAAAGGGUGUGUAGGCGGACUGUUAAGUCAGUGGUGAAAUCUUCGAGCUUAACUCGGAAACUGCCGUUGAUACUAUCAGUCUUGAAUUCUGUUGAGGUGGGCGGAAUACAUCAUGUAGCGGUGAAAUGCUUAGAUAUGAUGUAGAACACCGAUUGCGAAGGCAGCUCACUGAACAGCGAUUGACGCUGAGGCACGAAAGCGUGGGGAUCAAACAGGAUUAGAUACCCUGGUAGUCCACGCCCUAAACGA
rnacentral:rRNA from 1 species